rnacentral:tRNA from 1 species
UGCUUUGUAGCUCAAUUGGAUAGAGCGGCAGGUUUCCCAUCUGUAGGCGAAGGUUCAAUUCCUUCCAAAGCUCC